rnacentral:rRNA from 1 species
GAUGAACGCUGGCGGCGUGCCUAAUACAUGCAAGUCGAACGCUGGAAAUCUAGCUUGCUAGAUUGAAGGAGUGGCGAACGGGUGAGUAAUACAUAAGCAACCUACCCACGAAGACUGGGAUAAUCUCUGGAAACGGGGACUAAUACCGGAUAGGUAAUCGGAAGGCAUCUUCUGAUUAUUAAAGGUUAAAAACACUGGUGGAUGGGCUUAUGGCGCAUUAGUUAGUUGGUGAGGUAACGGCCCACCAAGACGAUGAUGCGUAGCCGGCCUGAGAGGGUGAACGGCCACAUUGGGACUGAGACACGGCCCAGACUCCUACGGGAGGCAGCAGUAGGAAUUUUCGGCAAUGGGGGAAACCCUGACCGAGCAACGCCGCGUGAGUGAUGACGGCCUUCGGGUUGUAAAGCUCUGUUGUAAGGGAAGAACGGUAGAUAGAGAAUAUCUAAAUGACGGUACCUUACCAGAAAGCCACGGCUAACUACGUG